UACAUUAAACUGCAUUUUUACCACUUUUGUUUUCAAAAAGAAAAAUCUUUAGUUUUGGAGAAAUAAGGGCAUAUCCAACCCAUAACACUAUUUUAAUGUUAAAAUUAUGGGAAUUUGCGGUUGAUGACCAUAGAAAAAAGUUUAAUUAGGUAAAUGACCAUAACACUCUAUAUUUUUCAUAAAUACAGUCUUACCCCUAGAUGUACUAUAAUGUAGGUCUGUCUAAUUUGUUGUGUGAUUCAACUCGAAACAGAGCUUCUCUUGAAGUUUCUUCCUUUUAUCUCUGUUUUCUUUGGGUUGAUUAAUAAAUCGGCUUGUCCGAGUGUAAUAGUGUCGCCCCUUCCGCAAAUCAUUCAUAUCCCGUGUUAAUGGAGUUUAGUUUCUCAGAUGUAAAGGAUGGUUGCGUUUUUGGAUUCUCUCUCUCUCUCUCUCUCUCUCUCUCUCUCUCUCUCUCUCUCUCUCUCUCUCUCUCUCUCUCUCUCUCUCUCUCUCUUACUGAUUUUGUUUGUUUUGGGAUUGGAGGAGGCAAAGCGUGCGUCCAUGGAGAUGGGAGACAUAUGUAAUGUGGUUGUCGUGAGCAAGAGGACACGUCUCGAGCUCGCAUCCGUCUCGACCCAUCGUCACCGGUCUCGAGCUUGCCACGUCACCACCGGUUUCGAGCUUGCCCCUGUCACCACCGGUCUCGAACUCGUCCCCGUCGUCAUCGGUAUCUGGUGCUGGGGAUGGAGACAGAACAGAGGAAGACAUCGAGAAGAGAGGCAAAGGAGGAAGGAGGAGGCGGCUCAUUGGAUUAUUGUGUCUUGAUAGUUGCAUCUUUAAGAAUAUUCAUCUUAAUUUAGCCUCUACUACCUACACUGCUUCAAAAAACCAGCUUCCAAAAAACUAGCUUUCCUAAACGUCACAGAGGAUUGUUAUGUCAUUUCUCAUAUUACAAGCUACUACAUCUGCAAAUACUUUUGAAUACCAACCGAUCACCUAAUUACCAUCCUCAUUUUGUAUAUACACCUAAAUGACCCUAAAA